GGAUGAGCCCGCGGCCUAUCAGCUUGUUGGUGAGGUAAUGGCUCACCAAGGCGACGACGGGUAGCCGGCCUGAGAGGGCGACCGGCCACACUGGGACUGAGACACGGCCCAGACUCCUACGGGAGGCAGCAGUGGGGAAUAUUGCACAAUGGGCGAAAGCCUGAUGCAGCGACGCCGCGUGAGGGAUGACGGCCUUCGGGUUGUAAACCUCUUUCAGCAGGGAAGAAGCGAAAGUGACGGUACCUGCAGAAGAAGCGCCGGCUAACUACGUGCCAGCAGCCGCGGUAAUACGUAGGGCGCAAGCGUUGUCCGGAAUUAUUGGGCGUAAAGAGCUCGUAGGCGGUCUGUCGCGUCGGAUGUGAAAGCCCGGGGCUUAACCCCGGGUCUGCAUUCGAUACGGGCAGACUAGAGUGUGGUAGGGGAGAUCGGAAUUCCUGGUGUAGCGGUGAAAUGCGCAGAUAUCAGGAGGAACACCGGUGGCGAAAGCGGAUCUCUGGGCCAUUACUGACGCUGAAGAGCGAAAGCGUGGGGAGCGAACAGGAUUAGAUACCCUGGUAGUCCACGCCGUAAGCGGUGGGAACUAGGUGUUGGCGACAUUUCCCGUUCGUCGGUGCCGCAGCUUAACGCAUUAAGUUUCCCCCCUGGGGGAGUACCGGCCGCCAGGGCUUAAAACUCAAAGGAAUUGACCGGGGGGCCCCCCCAAGCCA
rnacentral:rRNA from 1 species